rnacentral:rRNA from 1 species
AACGAACGCUGGCGGCAUGCCUAACACAUGCAAGUCGAACGAGACCUUCGGGUCUAGUGGCGCACGGGUGCGUAACGCGUGGGAACCUGCCCUUAGGUUCGGAAUAACUCCCCGAAAGGGGUGCUAAUACCGGAUAAUGUCUUCGGACCAAAGAUUUAUCGCCUUUGGAUGGGCCCGCGUUGGAUUAGCUAGUUGGUAGGGUAAAAGCCUACCAAGGCGACGAUCCAUAGCUGGUCUGAGAGGAUGAUCAGCCACCCUGGGACUGAGACACGGCCCAGACCCCUACGGGAGGCAGCAGUGGGGAAUAUUGGACAAUGGGCGAAAGCCUGAUCCAGCAAUGCCGCGUGAGUGAUGAAGGCCUUAGGGUUGUAAAGCUCUUUUACCCGGGAUGAUAAUGACAGUACCGGGAGAAUAAGCUCCGGCUAACUCCGUG